rnacentral:rRNA from 1 species
GACGAACGCUGGCGGCGUGCCUAACACAUGCAAGUCGAACGGAAAGGCCCUGCGUUUGUGGGGUGCACGAUUGGCGCACGGGUGAGUAAAACGCGAGUAUCCCGCCCCUGACUUUGGGAUAACUUCAGGAAACUGGGGCUAAUACAGCAUAGGAGAUACUGCUGCAUGGUGGGGGUUGGAAAGUGUCGGCGGUGGGGGAUGGACUCGCGGCUUAUCAGCUUGUUGGUGGGGUAGGGGCUUACCAAGGUUAUGACGGCUAGCCGGCGUGAGAGGGUGACCGGCCACAUUGGGCCUGCGAUACGGCCCAGACUCCUACGGGAGGCAGCAGUGGGGAAUAUUGCACAAUGGGCGGAAGCCUGAUGCAGCAACGCCGCGUGCGGGAUGCCGGCCUUCGGGUUGAAAACCGCUUUCGCCUGUGACGAAGCGUUAGUGACGGUAACGGGUAAAGAAGCACCGGCUAACUACGUG